rnacentral:lncRNA from 1 species
AUGAGGAUAGUAUAAAACUGCAAUUCUCGUGACUGAUAAAUCAAAUGAAAUAAUCCAAUAAACUGGAAGAAAAAUUGUGAAUUGGUCUUCUGAGAGGCAAGAGAGCAUGCUGCUUAAUAACUGUAUGAACAUGGGAAAUUACUUAAUCUCUCUGCGUCUCAGUUUCUUCAACUAUAAAAUAACAAUGCUGCUGCUGCUGCUGCUGCUGAUGAUGAUGAUGAUGGUGAAGAUGAUGACACCUAUUUCAUGGGGCUGUUGUGAAAAUUGAGAUGAUCCCUGUUAAGUAUUUAGCAGAGUGCCUGACAGUGAGUGCUCAAUCACUUAUUAUUAUUGCUGGUAAUACUGUCGUUAGCAUUACUUUUGCUGUUAUUAAUGUAGUGUGAUUUAUUUUUAAAUUAGGGUCAAUUGAAGGAACUGGGAAUAUUUUGUGAGUAAGGGUUUUUAUGUAUAUCACAUUCGUUCUUCUCAUAACCUGCCACCCUCCUCAUUUUUGUUACUGGGAAUGAAAUCGACUUCAAAAUAAACCUAAGAACCCGGACUCCCUUGGAUCUGACACUGACCCCAGACGCCAAGCCACAGAGGAGUAUGCUGCAGUCAUUCUCUCUUUGAAAUUCUAAUUAAAAAUACAUUUUAAAAGUUUUUUAAAUGCAUGUUUUUCUUGAAUUCUGAUAUGAGCCAUGCAAUAUAAAAUGGCACUGUAACAUCUCUUCAAAUAUGCGCACUUCUAUUCACAAUAGUAUUUUAAAAAGUAAUCUUACAAAAGUUUUAUUUAAAAAUACCUUGCCAGGUGUGGUAGUGCAUGUCUGUAGUCCCAGCUGUUCAGGAGGCUACCCCUCUUGGGUUUGUUUUCUCUAAAAUAAACCUGUCCUUAAUUGUCAAGACACCGUUCAUGUUUCUUUCCUCUUUCUUUAAUUCUUACAGGGGUGGGAAGAUUGCUUGAGCCCAAGUGUUUGAGACCAACCUGGGCAACAUAGUGACACCUUGCCUUUACAAAAAAAAAAAAAAAAAAAAUUCUAGAUUUAAGCAUUUUGGUAAUGCUUCCAUUUCACUGCUUCUUUCUUAACUGUUUUGGUGUGAUUGCGAUCCAUUUUGUAGUUCACUAAUUUGGUAUUUAACUGAACUGAUCUGUCAGAUCUAUCAAAACAUGGGCUGUUGAUACAAUUUGAGCUAUUUCUUCAUCGUACCUGUGUUUACUUUGAGAGUUUAUCAGCGAAUGUUUAUCAGGAAUUUGGAAGCCUAGCAGCAAGGUGAAUUCUAGAAGAAAAAAAAAUCAACAACAUAUGCUCUACAUUUUUUUCAAUACUAAAUUGAUCAUCUCAAACAUUAUUUUCACUACAAAAAC